GGAAAAAUCCAACAAUAAGUAUCAGUUGUUUACAUUUGAUACAGCUAGGAAUACAUGCUAACGCUAGCAAGUUCAUAUUUAAGCGGUCAAAAGUACAGUGACAUUUUAUAACCUGACUUCAAGAUUAACGGGACAAGGAAAAUACCUUACCUUCAUAUUGAUUGGAUGGACGACUACCAUAGAGCUCUCUGAUGAGUGCGACAGUCUUUACAAACAACUCUGAUGAGUAUUGAGUACUGCCGCCCCCUUGUGUUGGCUCUGCUGAAGAUAAUUCAGAUACAACUACAGGAAGUACAGUAUGAGAGCAGACAGGAAGUGAAUGGGAGAGAGGAGAUAGACUGGGAAGGAUCGGCAAAUGAUCCGGGCCGGAAUCGAACCCGGGUUGCCGGCGCAGCAGCCCAGU